CGGGGUGUAGCUCAGAUUGGUUAGAGUACCUGGUUUGGGACCAGGGGGCCGAAGGUUCGAAUCCUUUCACCCCGACCA
rnacentral:tRNA from 1 species